rnacentral:rRNA from 1 species
GAUGAACGCUAGCUACAGGCUUAACACAUGCAAGUCGCGGGGCAGCAUGGGGGUUGCUUGCAAUCCCCGAUGGCGACCGGCGCACGGGUGAGUAACGCGUAUCCAACCUGCCCUUCACCACGGGAUAACCCGGCGAAAGUCGGACUAAUACCGUAUGUUGUCCAUUGACGGCAUCCGAUUUGGACGAAAGGUUUGGCGGUGAAGGAUGGGGAUGCGUCCGAUUAGCUGGACGGCGGGGUGACGGCCCACCGUGGCGACGAUCGGUAGGGGUUCUGAGAGGAAGGUACCCCACACUGGAACUGAGACACGGUCCAGACUCCUACGGGAGGCAGCAGUGAGGAAUAUUGGUCAAUGGGCGUAAGCCUGAACCAGCCAAGUAGCGUGCAGGAUGACGGCCCUAUGGGUUGUAAACUGCUUUUAUGCGGGGAUAAAGUGGCCCACGUGUGGGUUUUUGCAGGUACCGCAUGAAUAAGGACCGGCUAAUUCCGUG